rnacentral:rRNA from 1 species
CGCGCGAGUCAUUGGGAACGACUAAACCUAAAGGCGCAAUGAAAGUGAAGGUACGCCCCGAGCGGACCGAGGGAGGAUGGGUGGCGCACACGUUACGCCGCCCCGCACUCCCGGGGCGUCUCGCACUCAUCGCGAGGCGAGGCGCACCGCGAGCGCGCGCGCUGGGACCCGAAAGAUGGUGAACUAUGCCUGGUCAGGACGAAGUCAGGGGAAACCCUGAUGGAGGUCCGUAGCGAUUCUGACGUGCAAAUCGAUCGUCGGAACUGGGUAUAGGGGCGAAAGACUAAUCGAACCAUCUAGUAGCUGGUUCCCUCCGAAGUUUCCCUCAGGAUAGCUGGCACUCGGGAGAACCGCGUACGCACUAGCACGAGUCUCAUCCGGUAAAGCGAAUGAUUAGAGGCA